CUGUGGAUGAUGAGAGUGAGACCCAGAAAAGGUGUAUUCGACCCUUUGUGACCCCAUGGACUGUAGCCCGCCAGGCUCCUCUGUCUAUGGGCGUCUCCAGGCAAGAAUACUGGAGUGGUUGCCGUGCCCUCCUCCAGCGGAUCUUCCUGACCCAGGGAUCGAAACCGAGUCUAUUGUCUGCUGCAUUGGCAGGUGGAAAAACUGAGGUCUGGAGGACCCAUGGAUCAUGUUCAAGGUACCUGGUCACCAUACACUAGAGCCCAGAGUGAAGCCAGGUCUGACUGCUCCCAGAGUGGGCCCCAGCCCAUCUGCUCAUUGUCGGGGUGACCCCUGGAUGCCUGUGGUCAGAGGAGGCCUUGAAGUUCCCUCUCCACACUCAUUGAACACCAGCCACAUCCAGGGCCCCAGCCUGGGAGAGCUGAAAGACCCAAGGCCAAGGCUUAGCCAAGUGAAAACACUUCAAUGGAUUCGAGGUCCUGUCCGCUUCCUGUUGUCUCUCUUCCUCUUCCCCACUUCUGGAACUAGGAUCUGACACAAAGAUGGAGAUGGGAUGACACCUGGCUACAUGCAUGGGGCUGAAGGAGUAAGGGCCAUUGUGCAAAAUCCUCUUGUGGCCACCAGAUCUCUCCUGGAAAAGCUGGGUAGCUGUUGAAGAGGCUACUGACUGGGGUGCCGAGGGUGAGCCCCACGGCAGCCCACACCCUAGGUCCCUUCCUAGGGAGCCAGUGCUCAGAGAAGGGCAGAGGGGCAGCAGCGUAAUUCCCAGCCCAAGGUGCAGGCGGGGGCUCAGCCUUCACAUGGGCCUCCUGCACUCCCAGGGGCCAGAAAUCCAGGCCGGGGUCUGUGGAGGGAUGGU
ensembl:lncRNA